rnacentral:rRNA from 1 species
AUAUCAAUAAGCGGAGGAAAAGAAACCAACAGGGAUGGCCUCAGUAACGGCGAGUGAAGCGGCCAAAGCUCAGUUUGAAAGCUUCGGCAUUGUAACAAGGGGGUGGCGCGCGCUAAAGUCUCCUGGAACGGAGCACCACAGAGGGUGAUAGUCCCGUGCGCACGCGCCGUGAACCUACGAUGAGUCGAGUUGUUUGGGAAUGCAGCUCUAACGGAGGUACGCGCCUUCGAAAGCUAAAUACCGGCGAGAGACCGAUAGCAAACAAGUACUGUGAAGGAAAGAUGAAAAGCACUUUGAAAAGAGAGUGAAACAGAUGUGAAAUUGGGCAGAGGGAAGGGUUUGC